rnacentral:misc_RNA from 1 species
UCAUUGAUACUGAGAUUGUUGUUAAGAUUAAGAUUAUUAACGAUUACUAUUUAGUUAAUUUCAUCGAUUUCGAUUUUUUUUAUUGGGUUGAUUGUGGAUUAUCGCAAUUUAGCUAUGGAUUCUCAAAACAAGAGUAAUCGUCAGGUGCAGAGAGCUCCUUGCUUCUCAAAUGUUAGACGGAGGAAUGCGGCUUCACCAUCUGUCAUUGUAAUAGGAGGUGGAUUUGCAGGCCUUGCAGCUGCUCGGACACUUUAUGAUGCAUCAUUUCAGG